rnacentral:rRNA from 1 species
UACGAAGGGGGCUAGCGUUGUUCGGAAUCACUGGGCGUAAAGGGCGCGUAGGCGGCCGUUCAAGUCGGGGGUGAAAGCCUGUGGCUCAACCACAGAAUGGCCUUCGAUACUGGACGGCUCGAGACCGGAAGAGGUCAGUGGAACUGCUAGUGUAGAGGUGAAAUUCGUAGAUAUUCGCAAGAACACCAGUGGCGAAGGCGGCUGACUGGUCCGUUACUGACGCUGAGGCUCGAAAGCGUGGGGAGCAAACAGG